GACGAACGCUGGCGGCGUGCCUAAUACAUGCAAGUAGAACGCACAGUUUAUACCGUAGCUUGCUACACCAUAGACUGUGAGUUGCGAACGGGUGAGUAACGCGUAGGUAACCUGCCUGGUAGCUGGGGAUAACUAUUGGAAACGAUAGCUAAUACCGCAUAAUAUUGAUUAUUGCAUGAUAAUUAAUUGAAAGGUGCAAUUGCACCACUACCAGAUGGACCUGCGUUGUAUUAGCUAGUAGGUGAGGUAACGGCUCACCUAGGCGACGAUACAUAGCCGACCUGAGAGGGUGAUCGGCCACACUGGGACUGAGACACGGCCCAGACUCCUACGGGAGGCAGCAGUAGGGAAUCUUCGGCAAUGGACGAAAGUCUGACCGAGCAACGCCGCGUGAGUGAAGAAGGUUUUCGGAUCGUAAAGCUCUGUUGUAAGAGAAGAACGGGUGUGAGAGUGGAAAGUUCACACUGUGACGGUAUCUUACCAGAAAGGGACGGCUAACUACGUG
rnacentral:rRNA from 1 species